CGGGUGCCUCUCGCCCUGCAGGACGUGGCUGGCCUGGUCUGCCCCCAGCUGAGCCUCACCUGAGGGAGAGCUGGGGUGGGCCGCCUCGUUUACGACCGUGUAGUCGUCUUUUGCACACAAAGCCAUGUGAGUCCGUACGUGAGUCCUGUGGAAAGACAAGACAUGGAAUAGGAGUGACGUCCGUCCCCAGGCAUGAAGUGGAGAGCAUCACGCUGUGUGAGUUAAACACUGGCCAAGCACGGUGUGAGUCGGAGCCGGGGACCUGGCCAGAUGAGGGCUGCGUGCAGCUUUCACACCCCAGGCACGUGAGCACCGCCAAGCCCAGCCUCAGCCAGCAGCUGCUCUGCAAUGUGGAGUCACCAGUGGCCCCAAGGAUGGCAGUGAGAAGUGAAAGAGAAAUGGCUGCCCCUGCACCACUUACCGCGAAGGAGGCUCAAGGCUGGGGGGCCCCUCUGCCUUCCAGUGACCGCCCGUGUCACAUCCUGACCCGCUCAGCAGAGACGGCCAGAGGCAUGGAUGCACGCUGACUCGUGGACGGCCGCUGUUUGACGAGACCAUCAAGGAGGGAGGAGCACCCGUGGAAAGGCGUGGCAGGGUGGUCGGGGCAGAGGUGUACAUCAGCCUAUCCAAUGCUCACGGCUGGAGGACGCCGCGCCCUGUGAAUGCUCACUGAGGACCAUCCCGGGCACUGGGGCUCUCCAUGUGAGAAUGGACAAUAUGCUGCCUUCCCAGCUGCCCCAUCCUUCCUGCGAGAGCUUGGGGAUGGGUGGCCACAGUGGCACUGGGGAGAACACGAGGGCUCCCCAGCAAGCGUUUUCUCUCAUGGAGGUGGCUCUGGUCACAGCGUCACUGCAGGGCGCAGCCACGGUGGCGGCCAAUGGAAACUGGGCUCUUCUUUUUCUUUUUUUUUUUGAGACAGAGUCUCGCUCUGUCACCCAGGCUGGAGUACAAUGGC
rnacentral:lncRNA from 1 species